rnacentral:rRNA from 1 species
CCUUCGGGGAAGGAUUAGCGGCGGACGGGUGAGUAACGCGUAGGAACCUGCCAAGUAGUGGGGAAUAACAGUUGGAAACGACUGCUAAUACCGCAUACGCCCUUCGGGGGAAAGAUUUAUCGCUAUUUGAGGGUCCUGCGUUCGAUUAGCUUGUUGGCGGGGUAACGGCCCACCAAGGCGACGAUCGAUAGCUGGUCUGAGAGGAUGAUCAGCCACACUGGGACUGAGACACGGCCCAGACUCC